rnacentral:antisense_RNA from 1 species
CUUCACCGACCCGAGCCACAACGGGCGGUCCGCCGGCCGGCCCUGACCGUAGGUGGCCAGCAACGCCUGCGCCUC